rnacentral:rRNA from 1 species
AUUGAACGCUGGCGGAAUGCUUUACACAUGCAAGUCGAACGGCAGCACGGACUUCGGUCUGGUGGCGAGUGGCGAACGGGUGAGUAAUGUAUCGGAACGUGCCCAGUCGUGGGGGAUAACGUAGUGAAAAUUACGCUAAUACCGCAUACGAUCUAUGGAUGAAAGCGGGGGAUCGCAAGACCUCGCGCGAUUGGAGCGGCCGAUAUCAGAUUAGGUAGUUGGUGGGGUAAAGGCCCACCAAGCCAACGAUCGUUAGCUGGUCUGAGAGGACGCACAGCCACACUGAAACUGAGACACGUUCCAGACUCCUACGGGAGGCAGCAGUGGGGAAUUUUGGACAAUGGGAGAAAGCCUGAUCCAGCCAUUCCGCGUGCAGGAUGAAGGCCCUCGGGUUGUAAACUGCUUUUGUACAGAACGAAAAGGUUUCUACUAAUACUAGGAGCUCAUGACGGUACUGUAAGAAUAAGCACCGGCUAACUACGUGCCAGCCGCCGCCGUAA